rnacentral:rRNA from 1 species
AGUGAACGCUGGCGGUAGGCCUAACACAUGCAAGUCGAACGGCAGCACAGUAAGAGCUUGCUCUUACGGGUGGCGAGUGGCGGACGGGUGAGGAAUACAUCGGAAUCUACUUUUUCGUGGGGGAUAACGUAGGGAAACUUACGCUAAUACCGCAUACGACCUACGGGUGAAAGCAGGGGAUCUUCGGACCUUGCGCGAUUGAAUGAGCCGAUGUCGGAUUAGCUAGUUGGCGGGGUAAAGGCCCACCAAGGCGACGAUCCGUAGCUGGUCUGAGAGGAUGAUCAGCCGCACUGGAACUGAGACACGGUCCAGACUCCUACGGGAGGCAGCAGUGGGGAAUAUUGGACAAUGGGCGCAAGCCUGAUCCAGCCAUACCGCGUGGGUGAAGAAGACCUUCGGGUUGUAAAGCCCUUUUGUUGGGAAAGAAAAGCAGCAGGUUAAUACCCCGCUGUUCUGGCGGUACCCAAAGAAUAAGCACCGGCUAACUUCGUG